CCUACGGGWGGCWGCAGUAGGGAAUCUUCCGCAAUGGGCGAAAGCCUGACGGAGCAAUGCCGCGUGAGUGAUGAAGGUUUUCGGAUCGUAAAGCUCUGUUGCCAGGGAAGAACGCUUGGGAGAGUAACUGCUCUCAAGGUGACGGUACCUGAGAAGAAAGCCCCGGCUAACUACGUGCCAGCAGCCGCGGUAAUACGUAGGGGGCAAGCGUUGUCCGGAAUUAUUGGGCGUAAAGCGCGCGCAGGCGGUCAUUUAAGUCUGGUGUUUAAUCCCGGGGCUCAACCCCGGAUCGCACUGGAAACUGGGUGACUUGAGUGCAGAAGAGGAGAGUGGAAUUCCACGUGUAGCGGUGAAAUGCGUAGAUAUGUGGAGGAACACCAGUGGCGAAGGCGACUCUCUGGGCUGUAACUGACGCUGAGGCGCGAAAGCGUGGGGAGCAAACAGGAUUA
rnacentral:rRNA from 1 species